GUAAGGUCCCUUAGCGGCGAUAUGCAGUGAAUCCCGUCAGGUCCGGAAGGAAGCAGCGGUAACCGCAGAUUCGGGCGCUUAGGUGUGCUUUAUGAG
rnacentral:SRP_RNA from 1 species